GACGAACGCUGGCGGCGUGCUUAACACAUGCAAGUCGAACGGUGAAGCUCCAGCUUGCUGGAGUGGAUCAGUGGCGAACGGGUGAGUAACACGUGAGCAACCUGCCCCUGACUCUGGAAUAAGCGCUGGAAACGGCGUCUAAUACUGGAUACGAGAAGGGCCCGCAUGGGCACUUUCUGGAAAGUUUUUCGGUUGGGGAUGGGCUCGCGGCCUAUCAGCUUGUUGGUGAGGUAAUGGCUCACCAAGGCGACGACGGGUAGCCGGCCUGAGAGGGCGACCGGCCACACGGGGACUGAGACACGGCCCAGACUCCUACGGGAGGCAGCAGUGGGGAAUAUUGCCCAAUGGGCGAAAGCCUGAUGCAGCGACGCCGCGUGAGGGAUGACGGCCUUCGGGUUGUAAACCUCUUUCAGCAGGGAAGAAGCGAAAGUGACGGUACCUGCAGAAGAAGCACCGGCUAACUACGUG
rnacentral:rRNA from 1 species